UUUUUUUUGUUCUUUUUUUAAUAACACUUAUUUAUAAAUUCAGGGGCCUAAUCCGACUCUCUCAUUUUAUAGAUGAGAAAUAUGAGGUCUAUAGAAGUUGACUUGCCCAAGGUCACAUGGCUUGAUUAAUGCCAGGUUGGGCAACAUUUAGGAAGGGUCAUGGGGCAGGAGAGGACCAGUCCCAACCAGAAACCAGCCAUUGACUGCCUCACACAUGGCCAGGUGCAGUCAGGCAGCCAUCACAAGCAUCUGGAAAGUGGGGCACGGGCUCAGCAACCAUCCACAUGCCACCAGCAGCUGCCAAAGGGCCUUUCCUUACUAACUUCUUCAUGUCAUCGAUUUAGAUGGUUUCAUCAAGAGCGAAGGAACGGUGGGAAUUUCCAAUGGCUGGUGUUGCGAUUUUAGAGCUGUGCCAUUUUCAUUCCCUAUAAUUCUCUUUCCCAACAAGAGGAAACUCAUUGCUCACACAUGAGCGGAGACAUUGUAUUCUCUGGCCUUAAGUACUUGAUUUUCCUGAACCUAUCUGAGUAUUUAAAUGUUUUGCUUCUCUCCUCAGCUGUUUACCCUACAUUUCUAGAGCUUACCAUUAACUGGAUCCAUUUUGUUCUUUUAAGCAGUUUGAAAGAGUCUGAUCCUUGUUAUUUCAAAAACCAAUUUGACAGAAGACACAACUUGGCACCAAAAAAACUGGUAGCUGUUCAGUAGAACCAGAAUUCUGAAAGGUUUCUAAUGAGUGUAAAAAGGCCAUUAGGCUACUUUAUAGAUUUGCAGUUCCAUUUUACUGUCACCUUUGGAAAACUAACAUGAUGAACUCUGGGGCCCCAUUUCGGAGCUGUAGAAUCACCUGGCUCAGGUCCACCACAGAGUAAGUAUGUGAUGCAUUGGGCAGGCACCAACCACAUUCAAGCUGAGGAAAUUACAUGAUCAAAGUUAGGUCUAGUUAAAGUAGAUCUAGACAGGGAAGCCAGCAGGGUGGACUGAUGUCUGGAAGGACCAAGACCGGCGGGUUCGGGGUGGAUAAAUGAAUCAAGUACUUUUUUAAUAGAAGUAAAGAGGUAAAAGUAAUUCUCUUACUAGGUAUACAGUCCUUAGCGACGCGUCUAAGUAACCUGUAUGAUGCCAAGUCACGCCACAGCCCCAGGAUUCACCCACUGAGCAGUGAUGAACAUCUUGAAAUUAAGAACUAUUUUCACCUUUGAAUUUUCAGGGACUGAUGCAGUGCCCUGAAGGUGAUUAAGGGACUCUAAAUAAAUAAAAGAUUCUUAACCAAAGUACAGCACAUUUUUCUGACGUAGGAUAGCCUGUUCUCAGGCCUGGCCAUAAAGAAGGUGAUGUUUGGGGGCCACUCAGCCACUUGUCUUUCUGCAUCUGGUUUCCCCAUCCUGCCUUGACAGUUCCAAGCAUUGCCUCGAGUUCUAUCCUCAUUUUACACAAAAAUAGUACCUGACUGAUUCCCAGACGGCUUGGCUUGAGAGGACACAUGGGACCUGGAAGUGAAGGAGGAGUAUGAGGAGAGCAAAGGCAACCUACAGUGGAAGGGCAGAUGUGAGCUCUACGGGAAACUAAGUAUUACAUAGGGGUGUGAGGCACACUUCUUCCACUGCAUCAGGGCCCCUUCCGAGUCCCUCCUGCCUCCCCCCCUACCAGCAGGUUGCAUGCCACUGUUCUCAGGACUCACCACUUUCCCCUAGCCUACCCAAAAGUCCUGAUUCCUUCAACCUGCUACUUGCUCUAGUUAUCCGUUGACGGAAAACCAACCAUGGAAAACAGCAGCUUUAAACUACCACUGUUUAUUAUCUUUGGGGGCCAACAGGCUCAGCCAGGUGGCUGUGCUUUAUGUGGCAUCAACUAGAUGCACUCACUCAGUGGCACUGAGUGUGGCUGGGCUGAGCCAGAAGGUCUAAGAAGGCUUCGUGGGCUCAUCGGGUGCUUUAGCACUCCUCUGAGCUAGCUUGGGCUUCCUGGCAGCAUGGCGGCCUUGGGGCAGACAGAAGAAACUGCCAGGCCCCUUAAAGGCCGGAGUAGGGUCCGCCACACAUCACUUCUGUUGCAUUUUAUUGGUCAAAGCAAGUCAGCAGGCAGCCAGAUUCAAGGGGAGGGGAACAACAAAAGGAAUCCAUGGGAACUACCUUUGGAGACCACCUACCACAGUACCUCCCAGGGCCAUCAGAGAAAUGCAAUUUGUCUUUCAAUAUUU
rnacentral:lncRNA from 1 species